AUUUUAGUUGUGAUUUGAAAUUUAGGGGUAGGAUUUAGUUAUGCAAUGUACACUUUUGGGAAUUUUAUAACUAAGGAUUGGGAAAUGUGAGUGCUCUUAGGUACUCAUGCUUUUUUAUUAAAGGUUUGCUUGGAUAUGUGAGAUUAUGGUGAGGGCAUGAUCUGGAAAGCUUGAAAGGUAGUUGGGAUUUCUGUAAUUUG
rnacentral:lncRNA from 1 species